rnacentral:rRNA from 1 species
GUGGGGAAUAUUGGACAAUGGGCGAAAGCCUGAUCCAGCCAUGCCGCGUGUGUGAAGAAGGUCUUCGGAUUGUAAAGCACUUUAAGUUGGGAGGAAGGGUAGUAACCUAAUACGUUGCUACUUUGACGUUACCGACAGAAUAAGCACCGGCUAACUUCGUGCCAGCAGCCGCGGUAAUACGAAGGGUGCAAGCGUUAAUCGGAAUUACUGGGCGUAAAGCGCGCGUAGGUGGUUCAGUAAGUUGGAAGUGAAAUCCCCGGGCUCAACCUGGGAACUGCUUUCAAAACUGCUAAGCUAUAGUACGGUAGAGGGUGGUGGAAUUUCCUGUGUAGCGGUGAAAUGCGUAGAUAUAGGAAGGAACACCAGUGGCGAAGGCGACCACCUGGACUGAUACUGACACUGAGGUGCGAAAGCGUGGGGAGCAAACAGGAUUAGAAACCCGAGUAGGUCC